rnacentral:lncRNA from 1 species
CACACUUCCACCAACAUUGUAUUAGUGACCCAAUUUUCCCACAUCCUCUCCUACAUUUGUCAUUUUCCUUUUUUGUUAUAUUAGCUAAUCUGAGAGGUGUAAGGUGGUAUCUCAAAGCUGUUUUAUGUCCUUUGUUUUUGAAGAGAUCCAAUAACAACAUGAGGUUAUCUCCUGAUUUGUGAAUGAAAUGUUUUUAAGGGAGCAGGAUUGCACAGAGUUGUCAGCUUCACUUUUUCUUUCAGAGUCAUCUAUGUCCAGUGUCAAGACAAAAGUUAGGAUGACUGCCAAUGGUCUGUGAUGCAGUGGAUGAUCUCGGCAUCUUUGAGGUGUGACCAAAUUCUAAUUGUUCCACAAUACCUGCUUCAGCCAAUGGUUCAAGGCCAUUGGAACAAAUUGAUCUCAGCUACCAAUUUACUGGGAAAAGUCUUCACAUACUAAAGCUUUUUUCAUCAAGUAUGGAACAGAUGACAAGUCCUAUAAGACCAACUUAUGCUUGAUGUCAAGAAAACCUUGCUAACUCUUAGAGCUGUCCAGAAAUGGAAUGGGCUGUCUCAAGACGUGAUGAAUUCUUCCUUAUUUGAGGUCUUCAAUCAGAAGCUGAUUGCUCACUUGUCAGGCAUCAUAAGAGGAACUAAACGAGCAACUAGGAAAAUGAAGCAGCGUCGAUAUGUCUUCAAGAAGCCUCCAGCAUCCUUGAGGGGCAGAGAAGGUUCAUUUAAGACAUGUGCAUCAAUAGUGUCCAAGGUAAGAAAAGAUGAGAACAGAGGGGAUAUCAGAGAAUCGAGAUUUAUAGUGAGAAGGACCUUAGUGGUGACCUAGUCCAACUCACUCAUUUUACAGAUGAGAAAACUGAGGGAG